AUUGAACGCUAGCGGCAGGCCUAAUACAUGCAAGUCGGACGGGAUUUGGGAGCUUGCUCCUAAUGAGAGUGGCGCACGGGUGCGUAACACGUAUGUAACCUACCUUAAUCAGGGGGAUAGCCUCUCGAAAGAGAGAUUAACACCGCAUAAUAUAUUUUUAUGGCAUCGUAGAAAUAUCAAAUAUUUAUAGGAUUAAGAUGGGCAUGCGGAACAUUAGCUAGUUGGUAAGGUAACGGCUUACCAAGGCUACGAUGUUUAGGGGAUCUGAGAGGAUGACCCCCCACACUGGUACUGAGACACGGACCAGACUCCUACGGGAGGCAGCAGUAAGGAAUAUUGGUCAAUGGGCGCAAGCCUGAACCAGCCAUGCCGCGUGCAGGAAGACGGCCCUAUGGGUUGUAAACUGCUUUUGUACCGGAAUAAACCCUUUUACGUGUAAGAGGCUGAAUGUACGGUAAGAAUAAGGAUCGGCUAACUCCGUGCCAGCAGCCGCUGUAA
rnacentral:rRNA from 1 species